rnacentral:rRNA from 1 species
GAGCGGCAAAAGGGUGAGUAAUGCAUAGGUAACUAACCCUCGAGCGGGGGACAACGGUGGGAAACCACCGCUAAUACCCCAUACGAUCGCCGGGUCUACGGAUCUGGCGAAGAAAGAAGGGCAACUUUCGCUCGAGGAUAGGCCUGUGUCCUAUUAGCUUGUUGGUGGGGUAAAGGCCCACCAAGGCGACGAUGGGUAGCCGACCUGAGAGGGUGACCGGCCACACUGGGACUGAGACACUGCCCAGACUCCUACGGGAGGCUGCAGUCGAGAAUCUUCCGCAAUGGGCGAAAGCCUGACGGAGCGACGCCGCGUGGAGGAAGAAGGCCUUCGGGUCGUAAACUCCUGUCAUGGGUUAUGAAACGUGCAGAGGUAACGCUCUGUACUUGACGAAACCAAAAGGAAGCCACGGCUAACUCCGUGCCAGCAGCCGCGGUAAGACGGAGGUGGCAAGCGUUGUUCGGUAUCACUGGGCUUAAAGGGGGCGCAGGUGGCCCAGCCAGUCGGUAUGUGAAAUCCCUCGGCUCAACCGAGGAACUGCAUCCGAUACUACUGGGCUAGAGGCUCGCAGGGGAGAGUGGAACUCCAGGUGUAGCGGUGAAAUGCGUAGAUAUCUGGAAGAACGCCGGUGGCGAAGGCGGCUCUCUGGGCGAGUCCUGACACUGAGGCCCGAAAGCCAGGGGAGCGAACGGGAUUAGAUACCCCGGUAGUCCUGGCCCUAAACGAUGGGCACUGCGUAGAGGAAGCUAUGCUUUCUCUGCCCAAGCAAAAGUAUUAAGUGCCCCGCCUGGGGAGUAUGGUCGCAGGCUGAAACUCAAAGUAAUUGACGGGGGCUCACACAAGCGGUGGAGGAUGUUGUUUAAUUCGAAACAACGCGAAGAACCUUACCGGGGCUUGAACUGCAUGGAUUAUCCCUGUGAAAGCAGGGUACGCUCCUUUCGGAGUGGAACAUGUAGAGGUGUUGCAUGGCUGUCGUCAGCUCGUGUCGUGAGAUGUCGGGUUAAGUCCCAUAACGAGCGGAACCCUUGUCCUUAGUUGCCAGCGGGUCAAGCCGGGGACUCUAAGGAGACUGCCGGUGUCAAACCGGAGGAAGGUGGGGAUGACGUCAAGUCAGCAUGGCCCUUAUGUCCCGGGCUACAAACGUCCUACAAUGGGCGGUACAAAGGGAACCUAAGCCGCGAGGCGGCGGAAAUCCCAUCAAAACCGUCCUCAGUUCGGAUUGCAGGCUGCAAUUCGCCUGCAUGAAGUUGGAAUCGCUAGUAAUCGCGGAUCAGCAUGCCGCGGUGAAUAUGUUCCUGAGCCUUGUACACACCGCCCGUCAAGCCACGAGAAUUCGGAGUACCCGAAGUCGCUGAACCAACCCUCUUCGGAGGGAGGAAGGCGCCGAAGGUAGGCCGGGUAAUCGGGACUAAGUCGUAACAAGGUA